rnacentral:rRNA from 1 species
ACACAGGUGUUGCAUGGCUGUCGUCAGCUCGUGUCGUGAGAUGUUGGGUUAAGUCCCGCAACGAGCGCAACCCUCAUCCUUAGUUACCAUCAGGUAAUGCUGGGGACUUUAAGGAAACUGCCAGUGAUAAACUGGAGGAAGGUGGGGAUGAUGUCAAGUCAUCAUGGCCCUUAUGGAGUGGGCUACACACGUGCUACAAUGGUGGCUACAAUGGGCUGCAAAGUCGCGAGGCUAAGCUAAUCCCUUAAAAGCCAUCUCAGUUCGGAUUGUACUCUGCAACUCGAGUACAUGAAGUUGGAAUCGCUAGUAAUCGUGGAUCAGCAUGCCACGGUGAAUACGUUCUCGGGUCUUGUACACACUGCCCGUCACGCCAUGGGAAUUGGUUUCACUCGAA